CCUACGGGGGGCAGCAGUGGGGAAUAUUGCACAAUGGGGGAAACCCUGAUGCAGCGACGCCGCGUGAGUGAAGAAGUAAUUCGUUACGUAAAGCUCUAUCAGCAGGGAAGAAAUACUGACCUUACGGUCAGCAGACGGUACCUGAGUAAGAAGCCCCGGCUAACUACGUGCCAGCAGCCGCGGUAAUACGUAGGGGGCAAGCGUUAUCCGGAUUUACUGGGUGUAAAGGGAGCGUAGACGGUACGCCAAGUCUGAAGUGAAAUGCCGCAGCUUAACUGCGGAACUGCUUUGGAAACUGGCGGGCUAGAGUGCGGGAGGGGUAAGCGGAAUUCCUAGUGUAGCGGUGAAAUGCGUAGAUAUUAGGAGGAACACCGGUGGCGAAGGCGGCUUACUGGACCGUAACUGACGUUGAGGCUCGAAAGCGUGGGGAGC
rnacentral:rRNA from 1 species